AUGCAAAUGGUAUCUUGCGGUCGCACGGCCGUGAACAUUAACGGUGAGAUUGGCCCUUUCUUCCCCACCCUUUGUGGGGUUCGACAAGGCGACCCCUUCUCCCCGUUCUUGUUCAAUAUGGUCGUGGACGCGUUUGCCUCCAUUCUGGAUAAGGCGAAAGCCGCUGGCCAUAUUCGUGGGAUUACUCCCCACCUUGCCGGUGGCUCCGGGAUCUCCAUCCUCCAGUAUGUUGACGACACUAUCAUC
rnacentral:rRNA from 1 species